rnacentral:rRNA from 1 species
CGUCUAUAUACGUAUAGCAUAUCAAUAAGCGGAGGAAAAGAAACUAACAAGGAUUCCCUUAGUAACGGCGAGUGAAGCGGGAAGAGCUCAAAUUUGAAAUCUUCAAGGUUCUACCUUGACGAAUUGUAGUUUAAAGAAGUGUUUUCUGUUAGAGGAGUAGGCAAAAGUUCUUGGAAUAGGACAUCAUAGAGGGUGAGAAUCCCGUAUUUGGUUAUUCUUUCUAGCUUUGUGAUACACUUUCAAAGAGUCGGAUUGUUUGGGAAUGCAGUCCAAAAUGGGUGGUAAAUUUCAUCUAAAGCUAAAUAUUGGCGAGAGACCGAUAGCGAACAAGUACCGUGAGGGAAAGAUGAAAAGAACUUUGAAAAGAGAGUUAAACAGUACGUGAAAUUGUCAAAAGGGAAGCGUUUGACACCAGUGUUGUUUUUCCGAAAAUCAAUUAAGAGUGGCUUGAUUUUGUGUUGUAUUGACCUUAUCAGCUUUCUUCACUCUUUUUCGAGUCUUUCUUAAUGCACUUUUCGGUUAACAAGUCAACAUCAAUUUCUUUUGUUGUAAAAGGGUAUUUGGAAGGUGGCUUUCUUUUCGGAGAAAGUGUUUAUAGCCUUAUACCUCUACAAUCGGAGAGAUUGAGGUCUGCAGCGUAGAUCCUUCGGGGCUAGAUACACUUGUGCUAAGUUAUAGCUUUCCAUAGACAACUUGUUGACUAUGUUUAGUCAUGUAGCUUACCCGCUUGUGCUAUUUUACCUACGCUUAGGAUGUUGAGUCAUCACACAUCUCU